GUGCUUAACACAUGCAAGUCGAACGGAAAGGCCCUUCGGGGUACUCGAGUGGCGAACGGGUGAGUAACACGUGGGUGAUCUGCCCUGCACUUUGGGAUAAGCCUGGGAAACUGGGUCUAAUACCGAAUAGGAUCACUGGCUUCAUGGUCGGUGGUGGAAAGCUUUUGCGGUGUGGGAUGGGCCCGCGGCCUAUCAGCUUGUUGGUGGGGUAAUGGCCUACCAAGGCGACGACGGGUAGCCGGCCUGAGAGGGUGACCGGCCACACUGGGACUGAGAUACGGCCCAGACUCCUACGGGAGGCAGCAGUGGGGAAUAUUGCACAAUGGGCGCAAGCCUGAUGCAGCGACGCCGCGUGAGGGAUGACGGCCUUCGGGUUGUAAACCUCUUUCGCCAGGGACGAAGCGCAAGUGACGGUACCUGGAGAAGAAGGACCGGCCAACUACGUGCCAGCAGCCGCGGUAAUACGUAGGGUCCGAGCGUUGUCCGGAAUUACUGGGCGUAAAGAGCUCGUAGGUGGUUUGUCGCGUUGUUCGUGAAAUC
rnacentral:rRNA from 1 species